rnacentral:rRNA from 1 species
GACGAACGCUGGCGGCGUGCUUAACACAUGCAAGUCGAACGGUAAGGCCCUUUCGGGGGUACACGAGUGGCGAACGGGUGAGUAACACGUGAGUAACCUGCCUCUGACUCUGGGAUAACAGCCGGAAACGGUUGCUAAUACUGGAUAUUCUGCCCUUAUCGCAUGGUGGGGGUUGGAAAGUUUUUUCGGUUGGGGAUGGACUCGCGGCCUAUCAGCUUGUUGGUGAGGUAGUGGCUCACCAAGGCUUCGACGGGUAGCCGGCCUGAGAGGGCGACCGGCCACAUUGGGACUGAGAUACGGCCCAGACUCCUACGGGAGGCAGCAGUGGGGAAUAUUGCACAAUGGGCGGAAGCCUGAUGCAGCAACGCCGCGUGCGGGAUGACGGCCUUCGGGUUGUAAACCGCUUUCACCCAUGACGAAGUUUGUUUGACGGUAGUGGGAGAAGAAGCACCGGCUAACUACGUG